CAAACAAACAUACAUACAUACAUACAUACAUACAUACAGUAUCUCACAGAAGUGUGUUGUACCCGUCUGUCUCACUGCCCCUCUGACCCACACCUGCACCCAGUCAACUGAUCAUCAUGGAUUCCCGACACCUGCACUUCCUCAUCAGCACUUCCUUUAAAGACUCUCUCCUCCUGCACUCCUUUGUCUGUUCUCAUCAUUGUUUUGUUAGUUGUUUACUUCCUGUUCCAGUGUUUAAGUAUUGUUAAUAAACCUUUGCUGCUAUAACUUGAUCCUGCAUCCUCACCUUGAUUGCAACUAACCCUGUCAGAAGAACAGACCCAAAAAAGGAUAUGAAUCAUCCAGCAGCAAACCCACCUCUCCAGGCCAAGGACCGACUGUGCCGUCUGCGGAGUUUCUGGAGGUUUCCUAUCUGCCGAAUCAUCUGUGAUGUCACAGUCACCGUCUGUCUCACCGCCCCCGGACUCCAUUUCCCAUAAUCCCCUCUGACCCACACCUGCACCCAGUCAGCUCAUCAUCAUGGAUUCCCGACACCUGCACUUCCUCAUCAGCACUUCCUGUUCUCGUCAUUGUUUUGUUAGUUGUUCAGUUCCUGUUCCAGUGUUUAAGUAUUGUUAAUAAACAU